UGCUGAUUACCAUGACCGUGACAUGGCUUUGAAAAGCACAUCUCAUCACUGCCUGGUGACUCCUUUCAGAGGCUCCCCCAGGGCAGGUUGUUUUGCAACCAGACAAUGAAAUCCAAAUUUACUAGGGACAUGGAUGAAGCUGGAGACCAUCAUUCUCAGCAAACUAACACAAGAACAGAAAACCAAACACCACAUGUUCUCACUGGGAUUUCAAGACACAUUUGAUAUCUUACAGAGCUGAUAGCUGCCGUGCAUAGGGGAAAUAAAUGAGAGGAAUAUGUCUGCAUAGUGGGGG